UACGGAGGAUCCGAGCGUUAUCCGGAUUUAUUGGGUUUAAAGGGUGCGUAGGCGGUUUGAUAAGUUAGAGGUGAAAUGUCGGGGCUCAACCCCGAAACUGCCUCUAAUACUGUUGGACUAGAGAAUAGUUGCGGUAGGCGGAAUGUAUGGUGUAGCGGUGAAAUGCUUAGAGAUCAUACAGAACACCGAUUGCGAUGGUAGCUUACCAAACUAUAUCUGACGUUGAGGCACGAAAGCGUGGGUAGCAAACAGG
rnacentral:rRNA from 1 species